GGUUCAAGUCCAAGUUUUGUCUCUGCACACUACUUUUAUGAACUUGGGUUUGAGUACUUGUGAGUUUCUGACAUAAUAGAAUGAAAGAAGAUCAGAGCAGGAAGAUAUUUUAGAGAUUGGAGCCCUGGCCCAGAAAUUGGUUGUUAUGAUUUGAGAAGAGUCAAAGACCCUGCACUUGAUGGAUCAACUGGCAUCACCUAGACCAGUAAACUGGCUCGUCUGGUCUGUGGCCCCACACCCAGGAACUCACUUAGCUGAAGAGGACAGCUUUGACUUCCUAUGAUUUCAUCCACAACCUGACCAAUCAGCACUCCCUACUCCAUAGCCCCCUGCCCACCAAACUACCUUCAAAAAAGCCUAGCCUCUGAAGUUUUGAGGAGGCUGAUUUGAGUAAUAAUAAAACUCAGGUUUCCUGUUUAGCCAGCUCUAGUAUAUUAAACUCUUUCUGUAUUGCAGUUCUCCUGUCUGAAUGUCAGCUCUAGCUGGGCAGUGGGCAAGAAGAACCCAUUGGGCAAUUACAAAGAGGGAAGUAAGACAUGACUGCUGUCACAUUUCAAUGCCUUUCUGGGCCUGAUAAUUUAAAGGGGCUCACAUUUCUCAAAGCCAACUUAUCCCAAUCUUGCCAACCACAAGUUUUGUAGCAGUUACGGAAAACAAAAACUACAACCUGGGACAAGACCAAAGUCACAUACCCCUCUGUUCUCAUUGCUGUAUAACAACUCCAUUCCUACUUUGGUUCAGGGAGUUACCUAAUUUUGAGGUGCUCCCUGAUGAACAUUGACUGAAUAAAGCCUUUGACCUCUAUUUGAGAUCACUUUAACAAUUUUUUUCUUGACAGUUUAAUGCUGUGACUUAGGAUCUGGAUGAACCCUGGAUCCCACUGCAGUUUCAGAGGAGGAGAGACUGCAUUGAGGGAUCUUUGCUUCCUCCUUUCUUGGGGACUACUGUUGGGUUGAGAGGUAAAUAAUGUUCCUGAUUCUGUGCUCAGGUUUUUUUCUUGUAACACAGAGGUUUCAGGCUUCCAUUCUUUGAAAGGAUUAACUUAUUGUCUGAUAGGUCACUGCAUCUAUUUUCCUUUUGUCUUUUUGGGAU
rnacentral:lncRNA from 10 species